GCUGGCGGCAUGCCUAACACAUGCAAGUCGAACGCUAUUUAUAGAGUGGCGCACGGGUGAGUAACGCGUGGGAACCUGCCUUUUUCUGCGGGAUAACGGUUGGAAACGACCGCUAAUACCGCAUACGCCCUACGGGGGAAAGGUCCGCCGGAGAAAGAGGGGCCCGCGUCUGAUUAGCUAGUUGGUAGGGUAAUGGCCUACCAAGGCGACGAUCAUUAGCUGGUCUGAGAGGAUGAUCAGCCACACUGGGACUGAGACACGGCCCAGACUCCUACGGGAGGCAGCAGUGGGGAAUAUUGGACAAUGGGGGCAACCCUGAUCCAGCAAUGCCGCGUGUGUGAUGAAGGCCUUAGGGUUGUAAAGCACUUUCACUGGUGAAGAUGAUGACGGUAACCAGAGAAGAAGCCCCGGCUAACUUCGUGCCAGCAGCCGCGGUAAUACGAAGGGGGCGAGCGUUGUUCGGAAUUACUGGGCGUAAAGGGCGCGU
rnacentral:rRNA from 1 species